AGUAUCGAAUGCGAUAUCAAUCAGUGGUUGCCUUCUUCUACUGUAGUUGUGAGCUUGGUGGCCACUACUAUUUCUACGUCCCAAGGUGGAACCAUGAGCCAAGCUACGUGGGAUUGCCCGAGGAGCUAAAAGAUAUUAGGCUGUUGUUAGAUCAACGCUCGAAAGCCAAAGUUAGUUAUUUAUUCUUUCGAACAUAUAUUAAUUGUAAUAGCCUGGUUUAGACCCUAGCCGGAACAGUGGUUUCGGGACCAUAAAUCCAAGUCAAAAAAUAUUUUAAUAUUAUAUUUUGUGCUUAAAGUAUGUGAAUUGAUAUGUGUAAAAUUUUCGUAUGAAAAUUUUAUCGUUUGAGUGUUUAAUUUGUGAAAA